rnacentral:rRNA from 1 species
CCUACGGGAGGCAGCAGUGAGGAAUAUUGGUCAAUGGACGGGAGUCUGAACCAGCCAAGUAGCGUGAAGGAUGACUGUCCUAUGGGUUGUAAACUUCUUUUGUCUGGGAAUAAAACAGGGUAUGUGUACCCGCUUGUAUGUACCAUUUGAAUAAGGAUCGGCUAACUCCGGGCCAGCAGCCGCGGUAAUACGGAGGAACCGAGCGUUAUCCGGAUUUAUUGGGGUUAAAGGGUGCGUAGGUGGAUUGUUAAGGCAGUUGUGAAAGUUGGCGGCUCAACCGGGAAACUGCAGUUGAAACUGGCAGUCUUGAGUACAGUAGAGGUAUGCGGAAUUCGUGGUGUAGCGGUGAAAUGCUUAGAUAUCACGAAGAACUCCGAUUGCGAAGGCAGCUCACUGGACUGCAACUGACGCUGAUGCACGAAAGUGUGGGUAUCAAACAGGAUUAGAUACCCGGGUAGUC